rnacentral:rRNA from 1 species
ACUCCUACGGGAGGCAGCAGUGGGGAAUAUUGCACAAUGGGCGCAAGCCUGAUGCAGCCAUGCCGCGUGUGUGAAAGAAGGCCUUCGGGUUGUAAAGCACUUUCAGUUGUGAGGAAGGUGGUGUCGUUAAUAGCGGCAUCAUUUGACGUUAGCAACAGAAGAAGCACCGGCUAACUCCGUGCCAGCAGCCGCGGUAAUACGGAGGGUGCGAGCGUUAAUCGGAAUUACUGGGCGUAAAGCGCAUGCAGGUGGUUUGUUAAGUCAGAUGUGAAAGCCCGGGGCUCAACCUCGGAACUGCAUUUGAAACUGGCAGACUAGAGUACUGUAGAGGGGGGUAGAAUUUCAGGUGUAGCGGUGAAAUGCGUAGAGAUCUGAAGGAAUACCGGUGGCGAAGGCGGCCCCCGGACAGAUACUGACACU